GGCUUGUUGGUCUAGAGGUAGGAUUCCUGUUUCGGGUACAGGAGGUCCCGCGUUCGAACCCUGGACAAGCCU
rnacentral:tRNA from 1 species